GUUCAAGGGUGCAUGAUGUCUGGUUUUGGAGUUCGAGGUUGAAAAUUGGACACUCGUGAAAGUUUAGAGUUGAAAAUAGGACUUUUCCCUUUUUUUUUGCUCCAUGCCAAGUGCCAAGAAUACAAUCUUUUUUUUCUGCUACCUUUUUUUGCUCCAACCAAGUGCCUAACAGGUUGCCUAAUAUUGAUGCUGCAUUUUCUACACUUUAUAUUGCUUUUAAGCACUUUCUCUUCUCCUGUUGAUAAAGUGAGUUUUUAGUAUUUUUGUAUGUCAGGUUGUAUUGAAACCCAAACUGCAUGAAUGACUCAACUCAGAGAUGGUGUUGGUGGAGCAAGCAAAUGAAACAUGACCAAAUCCCAUAUGCAUGUUAACAAGCUAUAUAAAUAUGUCAGAUAUUAUUUCUAGCAUCCUACAAUAUAGCUGAUUACUUUGUUAUAUGUUCACCAUUAUUCAUAUGAUUUCUUCCAACUUUUCUUUCUUACCAUUGAGAAACUUUUUCUACCAUUAAUUUAGUUGCCUAAAAAUAGUAUGUUUACAUUGAAAAAUACCAGAAUGAGGACUUUGCUCGAUCUCCUACGAUUAGUUGCUUAGAAUGUUUCAGUUCAAUACUCUGUGAUACUUUGUAUUCUAUAUUUGUAUGCCUCACAAGCGUUGUGGUUCACACAAAGUUAUAAAUUGUUUCUUGCAUAAUCAGAUGUCUGGUUCAGUAUAGUUUUAUUCUUCUACAAACUGAGAACAAAAUAUGUACGGGAAUAGUCAUCCACCAUUAUAAUGUAAUGUCUCUAUUUAUAUGACUACAGAGCAACAAGGGCUCAGAGUUUGCAUCUGUUCUUAGGUUUUUGCUGGAGAACUUUCCGGGGAGCAUUGUUCAAAAAAUGGAAGUUAGAAGGUAAGUUGUCCCUGGUGUUUCUAAAAGUUUGACGACACCACUAUCUAAUCAAAUUUGGUAGCCUAAUCAGCAUAUUAAACUAUAAUUAUUUUAUCAGUUAAUGCAUUCCUAUAUUGCUUCAUAUUUAAUUUUCUUUGUUUUUGUUUGGUCAUUGUUGCUGGGAUGGGAGAUGACAUCAUAGAUGGGAGUCAACAGUCCAGACUCCAGAUAUGUUGCCUCCUAGGUAUUCAGUUUCAGGGUUUUAGGAGGCAAGACAGCUACAGAUGUUCGAUGUGCUCAAGGUCCUGCUCAAGCUGCUGACUCUAUAGGUUGUCGAUAAAAGAACAUGAAGGCACAUACGGGAAUUGCAUGAAGCAGCCGUAUACAGGAAUUUCAUGAAGCAGCCGUACAGUGAAACUUCUUCAUCUCGACCUUCCACAUAUGGGAGCUAUUGUUAGUUUUUGGUUGUUUGAUUUUUGCAGCUGUGGUGAACUGAAACCCUUUCAUAUAUGAUUAGAUUUUAAAGAGGUGUAAGAUGUCAUUUGCAUUAUGCAGAAACUGUGCGGUUGAAGUGAACAUUCAAUUGUAUUAUCACAAAGAAGGCUGUAAUAUGUUACAACCUCUUGCUUG